GAGGCCGUUGUCAACAUUGAGUACACAUUAUUGCAUAAAAUUAUGUGAACCACAAUUGUCCAAUUAGCAACUUGGAAUUGACAAAGCUCUGACAAACAACCAAGGCAAAUAUUUGGCACACUCACAUCAUUGAAGCGGCAUAAGGAGAAAUAGCCGCAUAUCAAAAUAUGUUGGAAAGCUAAACAAGAAGGUCACAGCAUGAAUUUAAGUGACCAAAGCAUAGUUUGUGUAACCUCUUAUGUCUCACUGAAUAAACUACUAACUCGAUGUAUACUCCAGGUGCUUAUGGAGAAUAGAAUUAUGAUCAAGUAGUGAACGCGAUGAUUACAAUCCCUGCAAACACCAUAACAAUGAUGAUAAGAAUUAUGAUCAAAUGAAGCUAGUGUCGGAAUCAGAGUCUAUAAAUACGGCCACUCACAGACUGAGCAAUGCACUGCCACUGCAAGUACCAUAUUAGCAGCAGCUGGUUGGCCAAUUAGGUGCUAAUAAUAACUAGCUAGUUGCACCAGUAACCAGCUAGAAAGAGGCAUGGCAAUGGAGGUCGCCGUCGGUGGCACGAGGAUGCCGGUGGCGGCGCUGGUUCUCGUGGCACUGGCCAUGGUCUGCCUGUCCGGCAACGGGGCGGCGGCGCAGCAAGCGAGCAGCGUGGCGGCGACGUACAACCUGUACAACCCAGAGAAGAUCAACUGGGACCUGCGCGCCGCCAGCGUCUACUGCGCGACGUGGGACGCCGACAUGCCGCUGGCGUGGCGGAAGAGGUUCGGCUGGACGGCGUUCUGCGGCCCCGCCGGCGCGCACGGCCAGCCGUCCUGCGGCCGCUGCCUCCAGGUACCCUACUCAUAUCCCUGUCUCCGUCUAUGGAUGAUACGUGUAAGGAGAUGUGUGCCUUUCAUGCUUUGUUUGAUCGGCGGGACGCUGUCGUCAGGUGACGAACAGGGCGACGGGGGCGCGGACGGUGGCGAGGGUGGUGGACCAGUGCGACAACGGCGGGCUCGACCUCGACGUCGCCGUGUUCCGGCGGAUCGACACCGACGGAGGCGGCGUCGCCAACGGACACCUCGUCGUCGACUACGAGUUCGUCGGCUGCCAGGGCUGAUCAUGCUCCAGCAGAUCACCGCAUGCUGCUGCAUCAUAUUCAUAUACUUACGACCGUUGCGGCGAAUAAAUAUGCAUGGGAAAUCAGUGGUACGUACUAGUGCCGGCAAGAAUAAAAACGCAACCGAAAUCAAUAUCGGCCUCUGAUGUUAAUUCGAUCGAGGCUUGCAGUUGCAGCAUGUACGUGUUGUUUUCCGUUUCUGAAUGAAUAUCUCGUUAUGUAUCUCAGAAUAUAUAGUCGAAAUGACAGGUUUUAUGUCUCGGCAUCAAGCCACGUAAUCUGGCUACUUGAUGUGGGUUUAUUAUCAAGCAAUUUUCGAAUAGUUUUAACUCGUAAAAACAUUUCUCAACGAUCCCUUAUAAUUCAGGCCCUCAAGGGGACCGUCAAACCUUAAUUCCUCACAAUUGAGGGUUCAAAAACGGUUCCUGGCCAAACUCUUAAAUUUAACUUUCUACUACUUUUUUUCUCACGAAUUCAUUUCAAACAUAGAUUGAAGCUACUCGAUUCAAACGCAGAUUUAAAUAAAGGUAGCACAACUUGAUACGUUGCAUAACAUGAACUUAGACUACUUGUUUCAAACCUCCGUAUGAUUCGCUCGACGACGAGCUCCGGAUGAUUCCCUAGAAGUGUAUAAUUCGCUCGACGACGAGCUCCAGAUGAUUCCCUAGAAGUGUGGCGAUGUAUGGCUCAUUGGUGCGGGAGGCCUCCCGAUUCUCCCACACCUCACGGCGGGAGACCACUCGAGGGGUCAAUGAUGGCAAGCUCCAGGACAUCGCAGUUGUCGAGGGAUGAGUUUAUCUACUGUCGAAGGCAAACCACCAUCUCGCUCGGCCCACACACAUGUUCAAGUAUUUUCAAACUGCAUCACCUCAGGCUUCAGCGAAAAAAUUGGUUAGGAG
rnacentral:lncRNA from 1 species